rnacentral:rRNA from 1 species
AUUGAACGCUAGCGGGAUGCUUUACACAUGCAAGUCGAACGGCAGCGCGGACUUCGGUCUGGCGGCGAGUGGCGAACGGGUGAGUAAUGUAUCGGAACGUGCCCAGUAGCGGGGGAUAACUACGCGAAAGCGUAGCUAAUACCGCAUACGCCCUACGGGGGAAAGCAGGGGAUCGUAAGACCUUGCACUAUUGGAGCGGCCGAUAUCGGAUUAGCUAGUUGGUGGGGUAACGGCUUACCAAGGCGACGAUCCGUAGCUGGUUUGAGAGGACGACCAGCCACACUGGAACUGAGACACGGCCCAGACGCCUACGGGAGGCAGCAGUGGGGAAUUUUGGACAAUGGGGGCAACCCUGAUCCAGCCAUCCCGCGUGUGCGAUGAAGGCCUUCGGGUUGUAAAGCACUUUUGGCAGGAAAGAAACGUCGCGGGCUAAUACCCCGUGGAACUGACGGUACCUGCAGAAUAAGCACCGGCUAACUACGUG